rnacentral:rRNA from 1 species
AUUGAACGCUGGCGGCAGGCCUAACACAUGCAAGUCGAACGGUAGCACAGAGAGCUUGCUCUCGGGUGACGAGUGGCGGACGGGUGAGUAAUGUCUGGGAAACUGCCUGAUGGAGGGGGAUAACUACUGGAAACGGUAGCUAAUACCGCAUAACGUCGCAAGACCAAAGAGGGGAACCUUCGGGCCUCUUGCCAUCAGAUGUGCCCAGAUGGGAUUAGCUAGUAGGUGGGGUAACGGCUCACCUAGGCGACGAUCCCUAGCUGGUCUGAGAGGAUGACCAGCCACACUGGAACUGAGACACGGUCCAGACUCCUACGGGAGGCAGCAGUGGGGAAUAUUGCACAAUGGGCGCAAGCCUGAUGCAGCCAUGCCGCGUGUAUGAAGAAGGCCUUCGGGUUGUAAAGUACUUUCAGCGGGGAGGAAGGUGCUGAGGUUAAUAACCUCAGCAAUUGACGUUACCCGCAGAAGAAGCACCGGCUAACUCCGUG